ensembl:lncRNA
AGCCUUGAGAAGACAUUUGAUAACUCACUUCUACAAGCCCUGUUCAGCAUGGUCCAUCUUAAGGCUUGUCCAGACUUAAUUCAGGUUCAUAGAAGCUUUGAAAAUAGUAACAAAUCCUCUCUCUUCCCUUUGGGGUUCAGGGACCCCCUCUCUGGGCCCCGUGUCCACAUCAUACACGUAAGUUUCCAGGCCUCCCCCUGCCAGAGUGACCCACAGCUGUACUUGCUCCACCUGCCCCUGGGGGAGGUCACACUGCCAUCUUCUGGACCCUGCUAUCCACAGCUGUGGGUCAGUGAUGAAAGCCAAGAGGCUGGGCUUUGUGGUCCAGAGCGAGACAUCUCUCCUGCUGCCUAGUCCUCACCUCUAUCGCAUCUGCAGAAACCCCUGACCCCUCGUUGGAACACCUGCAUACAGGCCUCCUUCACCUUUUAUAAGCUUUAUUCUUCUGGCCUCUUCCAUCUGAUUUUUCUGGGAUUUGAAGCUGUGUCCUGAGGAAGGCAAAGCACCUGUGUGUCUCAUAGUCCUGUCCAUCUUGUCUCCUGUCCCAGAAGAUGCUCCUGCCAUCAGCCCUGCAGCAGCCAGGCUCCCCUGCCUCCCACAGUGUCUCCUCCCCAGACUCCUGGUGGGGACCCAGCCCACAGGCUCCCUGGUUCAUUUCCUUCUUCCUGUGUUUGCUGAAUUGCCUCCAUGCAGGGGUCCUGGGCUGGUGUCCUGGAUUCUCCUCCUUGACCGUCUCCUGGGUCCCUGGUCCAGGAAUCAUGGGGAUUCCUGCAGUGCUGCAACAUGCAGUCCCUGUGUGUGGCUUCAGGGUGUCCUUCCUGCAUUCCUGGGAUCCGGCCCCCUAGGAGGUGUCUAGUUCUUCCCGUGUCUUCUAGUUUGCCUCUUUGGGAACUGCUCAUCCUCCCCAACACAAUUGAGCCUAAUCCUCUCUUGUCUAGCCCCAUCUUUAAACUCUUGGAUUUUCUCUGACACACAUAGAUGUCUGCAGGAUCUUAGCCCUUCUCCUGAGAAAAUCCCUGUUUCUUCCCUAAGGUUUGUCCAGUUCAGACAUUCCGCUUAUAGAAUUUAUAUUGAGAUAAGCGUUCCCUCUUCUCUGAUCAUCUUGUUGGGUGAUUAAUGACUGUUUAUAACCUUCUCCCUGCUCCACCAUUCUUAAAACCUGAGAGGCUCAUCACUUAUUUCAGUGGAUUUUGUUUUUUUGUUUGUUUGUUUGUUUGUUUUCUCUCUCUCUUUGCUGUCCUAGGGAAAGGGACAAGCAAUGCCAAGUCAGGAGCCCCUGAGAUUCAGAGUGACACAAGGGCCAGAGUCCCCACUGAAGCACAAGCGUUCAUGGGUGGUCCCGAUAUAUAAUUACGCAGUGGUGUUCUUCAGACUCUAAUAAAUUUUUUUCUCUGUUCAGUGAUCCAAGACAACUGUUUUCCUCAUGAAAUUGAUAGAGAAGGGACACAAGAAAUGCUUAGCCGUGAACAAGGUAAUUAUGAUGAGAUACACACUUUGUUUUAUGGUUCCUAAGAAGAAAAGGAGGCAAAGGAAGGGAGCUCUGGAAGGGAGACUGUGAUGCCAGAGCUGGAAAACCAGAGGAUUAUGGGCCAGUAAGAGAGUGUUACUUUGUAUCAGUUCCAAAAUGACCUGAUUCCCUGUAGAAUCCAAGAUAUUAUCAAGGGGUGGAUUCCAAAGUGGUUCAGCUGGUUAGGUGAGUCACUGCUGUGGCAUGGGUUUGAUCACUGGCCUGGGAACUUCUGAAUGCCCUGGGUACAGC